GGACGCCAGUCUGCAUGGAGCCGACCUUGAAAUACCACCCUUUAAUGUUUGAUGUUCUAACGUUGGCCCGUUAUCCGGGUUGCGGACAGUGUCUGGUGGGUAGUUUGACUGGGGCGGUCUCCUCCUAAAGAGUAACGGAGGAGCACGAAGGUUGGCUAAUCCUGGUCGGACAUCAGGAGGUUAGUGCAAUGGCAUAAGCCAGCUUGACUGCGAGCGUGACGGCGCGAGCAGGUGCGAAAGCAGGUCAUAGUGAUCCGGUGGUUCUGAAUGGAAGGGCCAUCGCUCAACGGAUAAAAGGUACUCCGGGGAUAACAGGCUGAUACCGCCCAAGAGUUCAUAUCGACGGCGGUGUUUGGCACCUCGAUGUCGGCUCAUCACAUCCUGGGGCUGAAGUAGGUCCCAAGGGUAUGGCUGUUCGCCAUUUAAAGUGGUACGCGAGCUGGGUUUAGAACGUCGUGAGACAGUUCGGUCCCUAUCUGCCGUGGGCGCUGGAGAACUGAGGGGGGCUGCUCCUAGUACGAGAGGACCGGAGUGGACGCAUCACUGGUGUUCGGGUUGUCAUGCCAAUGGCACUGCCCGGUAGCUAAAUGCGGAAGAGAUAAGUGCUGAAAGCAUCUAAGCACGAAACUUGCCCCGAGAUGAGUUCUCCCUGACUCCCUG
rnacentral:rRNA from 1 species